GAGCAGGCAAACGGUUAACUCCAGUGUUUCCAUGAAAUCCUUCCAGUCACCCAUCGAGAUGGGGUCAUACCCUCAGAAAUCUUCCGUUCCGCCGUGUACAGGAACCCAAACUAUAGAUUAUAUCUGACAUGGCUUAGGAAUGUAGUGCGCAUGUCUGAUUCGUGUCUUCUCGUAGGAUUGGGGCGUACACAGUCAUCAUGAGAUCUCCAUAAAUGAAGGUGGACAUGGUCAUUAAUGGUUGGAAGGAACUACUAUUACAAAGCAAGCAAUCGGCAUCCUUAUGAUAUACAGACGGUUUAUCAUGGUGCCAAUGAUGAUGACAUCAGGUACCCUUAUAUUACUAUGAACGCCUGGUUUGACAGUAAGAAACAUAACUACAUCUGGUGAAGUGCUACUGCAUAUGCUACGAACGCUAAUAAUGCAGUUCUUGUGCUCAGGAAAGAUAGGACAUACAAAGAUGAACUCGAGUCUUAUGUGAAGAAUGUUAACAACGCCAAAUAACAGCUGGAGUUAAUUACAACCUUUUCAGCUGAUAUAGUAAUGGAAUUUGGUCAAAAGAAACGUUCAUAUUCGAUUGUUGUGCAUCGACAGCUUCUCUAUUUCUCCUGUUCCACACAAAGAAUGCUACAAACUCCUAGGGACUCGUAACAACGUAUACGAAGGUGUUCGGAAUAAAGAUAGAGUAACCCAAGAAUAUUGUACAAGACUUAGUCGGAACUCUCCUCUCACAGCAAGACAAUAUCUCACAAUGCAUUUGCAGCACCAGGGCUGAUUCCACCACUUGGGAUACUUCACAGAUCUGUAGAGGAAAUCUAUUCCAUAGGCAUUAAAACCCGCACACACAGGUAACGAUAUCAUCAAUGACUUUGCAAUUUAAAAAAUAAAAGGAGAAAACUUUUCAACUAUAAAUAAAA